rnacentral:rRNA from 1 species
UACGGAGGGUGCAAGCGUUAAUCGGAAUUACUGGGCGUAAAGCGCACGCAGGCGGUCUGUCAGGUCGGACGUGAAAUCCCCGGGCUCAACCUGGGAACUGCAUUCGAAACUGCCAGGCUAGAGUCUUGUAGAGGGGGGUAGAAUUCCAGGUGUAGCGGUGAAAUGCGUAGAGAUCUGGAGGAAUACCGGUGGCGAAGGCGGCCCCCUGGACAAAGACUGACGCUCAGGUGCGAAAGCGUGGGGAGCAAACAGG